rnacentral:rRNA from 1 species
GAUGAACGCUGGCGGCGUGCCUAAUACAUGCAAGUCGAGCGAACAGAUAAGGAGCUUGCUCCUUUGACGUUAGCGGCGGACGGGUGAGUAACACGUGGGUAACCUACCUAUAAGACUGGAAUAACUCCGGGAAACCGGGGCUAAUGCCGGAUAACAUUUAGAACCGCAUGGUUCUAAAGUGAAAGAUGGUUUUGCUAUCACUUAUAGAUGGACCCGCGCCGUAUUAGCUAGUUGGUAAGGUAACGGCUUACCAAGGCAACGAUACGUAGCCGACCUGAGAGGGUGAUCGGCCACACUGGAACUGAGACACGGUCCAGACUCCUACGGGAGGCAGCAGUAGGGAAUCUUCCGCCAUGGGCGAAAGCCUGACGGAGCAACGCCGCGUGAGUGAUGAAGGUCUUCGGAUCGUAAAACUCUGUUAUUAGGGAAGAACAAAUGUGUAAGUAACUGUGCACGUCUUGACGGUACCUAAUCAGAAAGCCACGGCUAACUACGUG